GACGAACGCUGGCGGCGUGCUUAACACAUGCCAGUCGAACGGAAAGGCCCUGCUUUUGUGGGGUGCUCGAGUGGCGAACGGGUGAGUAACACGUGAGUAACCUGCCCUUGACUUUGGGAUAACUUCAGGAAACUGGGGCUAAUACCGGAUAGGAGCUCCUGCUGCAUGGUGGGGGUUGGAAAGUUUCGGCGGUUGGGGAUGGACUCGCGGCUUAUCAGCUUGUUGGUGGGGUAGUGGCUUACCAAGGCUUUGACGGGUAGCCAGCCUGAGAGGGUGACCGGCCACAUUGGGACUGAGGUACGGCCCAGGCUGCUACGGGGGGCAGGAGUGGGGAAUAUUGCACAAUGGGCGGAAGCCUGAUGCAGCAACGCCGCGUGCGGGAUGACGGCCUUCGGGUUGUAAACCGCUUUCGCCUGUGACGAAGCGUGAGUGACGGUAAUGGGUAAAGAAGCACCGGCUAACUAUGU
rnacentral:rRNA from 1 species